UACGUAGGGGGCAAGCGUUGUCCGGAUUUAUUGGGCGUAAAGAGCGUGUAGGCGGCCAGGUAGGUCAGCUGUGAAAACUCGAGGCUCAACCUCGAGACGUCGGUUGAAACCACCUGGCUAGAGUCCGGAAGAGGAGAGUGGAAUUCCUGGUGUAGCGGUGAAAUGCGCAGAUAUCAGGAAGAACACCAAUGGCGAAGGCAGCUCGCUGGAACGGUACUGACGCUGAGGCGCGAAAGCGUGGGGAGCAAACAGG
rnacentral:rRNA from 1 species